rnacentral:rRNA from 20 species
GGUUAAGCUACGAAGAGCAUACGGAGGAUGCCUUGGCGCCAAAGGCCGAGGAAGGACGUGUACCACUGCGAAAAGCUGCGGGGAGUUGUGGUAAGGCAUAGAUCCGCAGAUGUCCGAAUGGGGAAACCCGCCCUGGGGAAUGCCGGGGCAGCGCGUGGUGAAAAAAUAGCUGCGUUGCAGGGAACUCGGGGAAGUGAAACAUCUAAGUACCCGGAGGAAAAGAGAUGAUUCCGUUAGUAGUGGCGAACGAAAGCGGAGCAGUCCAAACCGUGUUGGUGCAAGCUGAUGCGGGGUUGGAGGACCGACGGAAGGUCUGGACCGGAUAGCGGAACCGCACUGGAAAGGCGGACCGGAGAGGGUGAGAGUCCCGUAGGCGAAAUCUGGGAAGGGCUGGUCGGGAUCCUGAGUAUCACGGGGCACGCAAACCCUGUGAGAAGCUGGGGAGACCACUCUCCAAGACUAAAUACCUUUGGCGACCGAUAGUGGACAAGUACCGUGAGGGAAAGGUGAAAAGGACCCCUGAUAGGGGAGUGAAAGAGAUCCUGAAACCGUAUGCUUACAAGCAGUCAGAGCCUGAUGCCGGGAUUCCCGGCCGGGUGAUGGCGUGCCUAUUGGAGAAUGAGCCAACGAGUUACGGUCAGUAGCGAGGUUAAGGUGUGAUAGCCGGAGCCGAAGCGAAAGCGAGUCUGAAUAGGGCGACUAGUUGCUGGCAGUAGACCCGAAACCAGGUGAGCUAUCCAUGUCCAGACUGAAGCGGGAGUAAAAUUUCGUGGAGGGUCGAACCGGUGUACGUUGCAAAGUGCUCGGAUGAGGUGUGGAUAGGGGUGAAAUGCCAAACGAACCUGGAGAUAGCUGGUUCUCGCCGAAAUAGCUUUAGGGCUAGCGUCGUUUGUUGAGCAUAGGAGGUAGAGCACUGGAUGAGGUAGGGGGCGAAAUGCUUACCGAACUCAACCAAACUCCGAAUGCCUAUGCUUUAGAACGGCAGUUGGACUGCGGGAGAUGAGUUUCGUAGUCGAGAGGGGAAAAGCCCAGACCGUCAGCUAAGGUCCUUAAGUGGUGACUAAGUGGGAAAGGAAGUGGUGUUACAGAGACAGCCAGGAGGUUGGCUUGGAAGCAGCCAUCCUUGAAAGAGUGCGUAACAGCUCACUGGUCAAGUGAUACUGCGCCGAAAAUAUAACGGGGCUUAAGUCACCCGCCGAAGCUACGGUUUUGCAGAUGCUUUAGGGCAUUUGUGAGAGGUAGGCGAGCGUUCCAUGCGCAUAGAAGCGAUACUGUAAGGAGUCGUGGAGGGCAUGGAAGUGAGAAUGUUGGCACGAGUAGCGAGAGCUGUGUGAGAACCGCAGUCCCCGAAAGUCUAAGGUUUCCGACGGGAGGUCAAUCCGCGUCGGGUUAGUCGGACCUAAGAUGAGGCCGAAAGGCGUAGUCGAUGGAUAACAGGUGAAUAUUCCUGUACCGCAUCAGGUUGUCUGAGCGAAGGGGUGACGCAGAAGGGUAGAUCAGCCAGCGGCUGGAAGAGCUGGUGCCAAGCCUGUAGGUGAUGAGGACGGGGCGAAAAGACCGUCUGAGCUGAGGGGUGAAGGCGAGCCUAAAUUAGGUGGAAGUGAUUGAACCCAAGCUGACGAGAAAAGCCUCUAGUGAGACCUAUGCGACCGUACCGCAAACCGACACAGGUAGACAGGUGGAGAACACCAAGGGGAACGGGAGAACCUUCGUCAAGGAACUAGGCAAAAAUGGUCCGUAACUUCGGGAGAAGGACCGCCUCGGUAGAGUGAAGGUACAGACGUGCCGGAGCUUGAGGAGGCCGCAGAGAAAAGGCCCUGCCGACUGUUUACCAAAAACACAGGUCCGUGCGAAGUUGAGAGACGACGUAUACGGGCUGACGCCUGCCCAGUGCCGGAAGGUUAAGGGGAGAGGUGAGAGCUUUGAACUGAAGCCCCGGUGAACGGCGGCCGUAACUAUAACGGUCCUAAGGUAGCGAAAUUCCUUGUCGGGUAAGUUCCGACCCGCACGAAAGGCGUAACGAGUGGGGCACUGUCUCGACGGAGGGCCCGGUGAAACUGAAGUAGGAGUAAAGAUGCUUCUUACCCGCAGCAGGACAAAAAGACCCCGUGGAGCUUUACUGCAGCUUGAUAUUGGAUUAGGGCUUACUCUGUGUAGGAUAGGUGGGAGACUGUGAAACUGGUUCGCCAGGAUCGGUGGAGUCGUUGGUGAAAUACCACCCUGAUUGAGUUUUGAUUCUAACCUGUACCGUAACCCGGUAUGGGGACAGUGUCAGGUGGGCAGUUUGACUGGGGCGGUCGCCUCCCAAAAGGUAACGGAGGCGCGCAAAGGUUCCCUCAGGCUGAAUGGAAACCAGUUGAAGAGUGCAAACGCAUAAGGGAGCUUGACUGCGAAACGGACAUGUUGAGCAGAGACGAAAGUCGGCGUUAGUGAACCCACGGUUCUGAGUGGAAAGGCUGUGGCUUAACGGAUAAAAGCUACCCCGGGGAUAACAGGCUAGUCUUCCCCAAGAGUUCACAUCGACGGGAAGGUGCGGCACCUCGAUGUCGGCUCGUCACAUCCUGGGGCUGGAGUAAGUCCCAAGGGUUGGGCUGUCCGCCCAUUAAAGUGGCACGCGAGCUGGGUUCAGACCGUCGUGAGACAGGUCGGUCUCUAUCCGCUGUGGGCGCAAGGAAAUUGAGAGGAGCUGUCCCUAGUACGAGAGGACCGGGAUGGACAGACCGCUGGUGUGCCAGUUGUCGUGCCAACGGCAUAGCUGGGUAGCUAAGUCUGGGACGGAUAACCACUGAAAGCAUCUAAGUGGGAAGCCAGCCUCAAGAUAAAUUUCCUCACAGAGAUAGUCUGGUAAGUGCGCUGGUAGACGACCAGUUUGAUAGGCGGGACGUGUAAGGACUGAGAAGUCUUAAGCGAACCCGUACUAAAGCACGAGGGCUUAACCUG